UCCUCGCUUUCCUCCACCCGAGCUCCGCCGGCUGCUCCUUGGGAGGAAGGGGACUCGCUAGACCAGGCCGAGGCCCAGGCUCAGAAGUCAGCAUUUUCAAGACCUGGCAUCCGCAGCGUUUCUGACGCGGGGACUUCUCUCUUCGGCUCUGAGGUCUCCGCGCGCAGAACCCAUGGCAGCUUUUGGUCUUACGCGUGGCUGUGAGCUGGGCUCACGCUGCGUGGCGCAUCCACCCCUCGAUUGACGCGCGGAGAAGCAUUUUUCAUUUUUUCUUUCAGCUUGCCUGAUUUCAAACAAACAUCAGAUUUAAGAAGGUGAGGACUCCAAAGAAGAUCCAAACGCGAGACCAGGAAGAUUCACGUUUCCACUACUUCUUCCAAUACAUUUCACUAAUCUUUCUAC
rnacentral:lncRNA from 1 species